rnacentral:rRNA from 1 species
GGGCCCGCACAAGCGGUGGAGUAUGUGGUUUAAUUCGAUGCAACGCGAAGAACCUUACCAGGGUUUGACAUCCUGCGAACCUCUUGGAAACGAGAGGGUGCCUUCGGGAACGCAGUGACAGGUGGUGCAUGGCUGUCGUCAGCUCGUGUCGUGAGAUGUUGGUUAAGUCCCGCAACGAGCGCAACCCACGUCUUUAGUUGCCAGCAUUUAGUUGGGCACUCUAGAGAGACCGCCGGUGAUAAACCGGAGGAAGGUGUGGAUGACGUCAAGUCAUCAUGCCCCUUACAUCCUGGGCUACACACGUACUACAAUGCUACGGACAAAGGGCAGCAAGUUCGCGAGGACAAG